rnacentral:rRNA from 1 species
GAUGAACGCUGGCGGCGUGCCUAAUACAUGCAAGUCGAGCGAACGGACGAGAAGCUUGCUUCUCUGAUGUUAGCGGCGGACGGGUGAGUAACACGUGGAUAACCUACCUAUAAGACUGGGAUAACUUCGGGAAACCGGAGCUAAUACCGGAUAAUAUUUUGAACCGCAUGGUUCAAAAGUGAAAGACGGUCUUGCUGUCACUUAUAGAUGGAUCCGCGCUGCAUUAGCUAGUUGGUAAGGUAACGGCUUACCAAGGCAACGAUGCAUAGCCGACCUGAGAGGGUGAUCGGCCACACUGGAACUGAGACACGGUCCAGACUCCUACGGGAGGCAGCAGUAGGGAAUCUUCGGCAAUGGGCGAAAGCCUGACGGAGCAACGCCGCGUGAGUGAUGAAGGUCUUCGGAUCGUAAAACUCUGUUAUUAGGGAAGAACAUAUGUGUAAGUAACUGUGCACAUCUUGACGGUACCUAAUCAAAAAGCCCCGGCUAACUACGUG